rnacentral:rRNA from 1 species
CGGACGGGUGAGUAACGCGUGGGUAACCUGCCCUGUACAGGGGGAGUAACAGUCAGAAAUGACUGCUAAUACCGCAUAAGACCACAGCACCACAUGGUGCAGGGGUAAAAACUCCGGUGGUACAGGAUGGACCCGCGUCUGAUUAGCUGGUUGGUGAGGUAACGGCUCACCAAGGCGACGAUCAGUAGCCGGCUUGAGAGAGUGAACGGCCACAUUGGGACUGAGACACGGCCCAAACUCCUACGGGAGGCAGCAUG